UACGUAGGGGGCGAGCGUUGUCCGGAUUCAUUGGGCGUAAAGAGCUCGUAGGCGGCUUGCUAAGUCAGGUGUGAAAUCUCCAGGCUCAACCUGGAGUCGCCACCUGAUACUGGUAUGGCUUGAGUCCGGUAGGGGAUCACGGAAUUCCUGGUGUAGCGGUGAAAUGCGCAGAUAUCAGGAGGAACACCAAUUGCGAAGGCAGCUCGCUGGGACGUUACUGACGCUGAGACGCGAAAGCGUGGGGAGCAAACAGG
rnacentral:rRNA from 1 species